rnacentral:rRNA from 1 species
GAUGAACGCUGGCGGCGUGCUUAACACGUGCAAGUCGAACGAAGCACUUUAUUUGAUUUCCUUCGGGACUGAUUAUUUUGUGACUGAGUGGCGGACGGGUGAGUAACGCGUGGGUAACCUGCCUUGUACAGGGGGAUAACAGUUGGAAACGGCUGCUAAUACCGCAUAAGCGCACAGCAUCGCAUGAUGCAGUGUGAAAAACUCCGGUGGUAUAAGAUGGACCCGCGUUGGAUUAGCUAGUUGGUGAGGUAACGGCCCACCAAGGCGACGAUCCAUAGCCGACCUGAGAGGGUGACCGGCCACAUUGGGACUGAGACACGGCCCAAACUCCUACGGGAGGCAGCAGUGGGGAAUAUUGCACAAUGGGCGAAAGCCUGAUGCAGCGACGCCGCGUGAGCGAAGAAGUAUUUCGGUAUGUAAAGCUCUAUCAGCAGGGAAGAUAAUGACGGUACCUGACUAAGAAGCACCGGCUAAAUACGUG